rnacentral:rRNA from 1 species
AUUGAACGCUGGCGGCAGGCCUAACACAUGCAAGUAGAACGAGUGGCGGACGGGUGAGUAAUGUCUGGGAAACUGCCUGAUGGAGGGGGAUAACUACUGGAAACGGUAGCUAAUACCGCAUACCAUCGGAUGUUCCCAGAUGGGAUUAGCUUGUUGGUGGGGUAACGGCUCACAAAGGCGACGCUCCCUAGCUGGUCUGAGAGGAUGACCAGCCACACUGGAACUGAGACACGGUCCAGACUCCGACGGGAGGCUGCAGUGGGGAAUAUUGCACAUGGGGCGCAAGCCUGAUGCAGCCAGGCCGCGGGUAUGAAGAAGGCCUGCGGGUUGUAAAGUACUUUCAGCGGGGAGGCGUUACCCGCAGAAGAAGCACCGGCUAACUCCGUGCCAGCAGCCGCGGUAAUUC